rfam:Salmo salar isolate Sally breed double haploid chromosome ssa09, whole genome shotgun sequence.
AAACAGGCUCUUCUAGGAGUCACCCAUAUUGAUUAUUAUUAUAUUU